GCGUGGUCGUGACCUGGCUGCAGCGCCUGUCCCUCUGUUGAGCACUAGAGUUGACUUAGCUCACCUGCUGGCUAUGUAGCUCUCCCUUUCCCCUCAGCAAACGUACGUGUCCAUCCCAAAGCUGUACACUUGCUUAAAAAGAAUGAUCUUCCUGCUAGGAGAGCACCAUUCUUCAGGACA
rnacentral:snRNA from 1 species